UCUGAUUCCACUUUAUGAAGAGAUGUGUCUACACUCGGCACCCACCUGGAUAAAUUACUCUGAGCAAUCUGGGUAUCUUAAGGUCUUCAUUCGCAUCUGCAAAGCAGUGGACACCUCUGGACCCAAUCGAUCUCACACCGGCGGGAGCCAGUCCUGGCUUUAAGGAGCCCCUCGUUCUUCUGCUCUGGAAGAACCUGGACAGGAAUCAGUGAAAGCGGUUUUCCUUUUUGACGGCUUCUCUCGAGCAUGCCACGCUUGCCUCCUGGCCACUGGAAACUGAGCGUCUGCCACACUUCCUGGGAAGAUGUGCUGGAACAAACCAAUUAGUAUCCACCUAUUCAUUGUUCGCCUAGGGAGUGUACUGCUUGAAUGUCAGCCAUGCGUGACACGCGCAGACUCCAGGGUCCUGCCAGGAGCCCGCAUCCAAACCACAGAUCAAUCAGCCCAGAGGCCUCUCAAGUGACCAAGUGCUGGGAUAAUUUUACUGAAGAGUCUUCAUCUGCAAGUUGGCCACAUGAGUAUAUAGAAUGACAAAAGUCCAUCAUGGUACACACGUAAGCGGGCUUCCUUUACUAUGGCAGUCCAGUUCUCCACGGAAAAGAGCUCAGAGAAGUAGGUGUUGUCUAAGAAAAUUACACACCCCGUGCAGUGAUUUGGAAUAAAUGUUUCUAUGGCUGUCUUCCUUCUGAACAUGGGUCUGCAGACAAUCGGGAAUUUUGACUACCCUAGCACUUCAGACAUGCGGGGUGUGGAAACGUCAGGGGGCAGCCUGAAGGAGUCAGUUUUUUCCUUCCACCGUAUGGGUCCCAGAGAAUUUAGCUGCUCUUCCUCGGACUUGGCAGCAAACGCCUUUACCUGCUGAACUAUCCUACCAGCUCGGUUUGCUGUACUUAAUUAAUACAGACUACCAAACGAGAAGCAGGGAAAGGCUAAGCCAGAGAGACAAUUUGUUUGGGUUCAACAUAGCACUCUGCAGCUCAAUGUCAGGGAUAUCCCUUAGCUUAGGAGGGCAGGUUGGCAGAUGGUCUUUCUGCCUGACACCCCAGGGUCAUCCUGAUUGCAGGGUGGCAGGUCUUUGCCCUUGCUUUCCUGGCAACUUCGUAGCUGAGCAUAUGGAGGCGCGGGGACCAGGCUAUCAUUCUCCCACCAAGAGUUUGCUGCAAACAAGACAGGGGGAGGCAGAGGAACAGCUCCCGAUGCCUCGUGCUACCUCUGUGCUCAUGGGACAACUGUGACAUAAAUUCCAUCCUGAGAUGAAAGGUCAUGCCAUCUUGAAGCCAUGGGAGGAAGCUACGAGCUCAGUGCCUGCAAAGUAAGGUCAAGCAGAAUGAGGCUAGAGAGCUAACAGCUCCUCUGGCCCCUGAGUAUCUCCCCUCAGCCUGCUCCAGCUCUUCCCUCCUCAUCUGUAUGGUGUCCCUGUCCACGAGCAGGGCCUUGCAGAUGCAAUUAACACAAGAAUCUCAAGGAGAAACGGACCCGUGUCUUCUAGGCGGGCUCUUAAAACUACACAGCGGAGAGGCUGUCAGAGAGGAGGAGCCACACGAUGACACACGGAAACAGAGUGAAACAGCACAGUCACAAGUCAGGUCACAAGUCAGGUGACGCCUGGAGCUACGGGAAGAAACCUGAAGGGGCAUAGGAGGGAUGAUUCCUGAGGUAGCAGAGGCCGCAUAGCCUUGUCCAGACUCUUGUAAUACAGAACUGUGAGGACAUUCCUAUUGGUCAUUUUUCUCUUGGGAAGUUCUGGUGUCCUGAAAAAUUUAAUAACGGCCGCCCUCAGAAACGUACGUGCUAGGGAGAGCUGAGCCACCCGCCCUCGGCUUGUGAUGGUACCAGGACUCGUUAGCUUUGGUUUAGAAGGGGAGAACUGCAAGCUGGGCCUGAGCGUGUCCCACACAGCAUUGUCUCCUGCAAUGUGCUUCCUGUCCUUCAGCAAACCCCCCUUCACCUUUUACUCAGUGUACUUCUGCGGAGCAUCUGCUGACAUCAGGUUCAAAGACAGACUUGGCGCAUGCUGGUGGCCAGAAAUGCAGCCACUACCUUCAGGUGUCUCAGAGAAUGAAAGACCAAAAAUAAAAUGUACACAAGGUUUGAUAGAGUUCCUCUAGUUUCGGAAGGAACAGCCUAAGGGGCGACAGGAGGAAAGGAUGACCCUGGAGUGAGUCCUGGGUGGAAAAGUCAACUUCAAGGACAGGGGUUGGGGAUGGUGGUCCAGCCAGUCAGAACAGAUGUGAAGUUGAAACACUCCAGGGUGAAAGGUAAGGGCUGGCAUAUAGAUACCUGAGCUGACAAUGCCUGCAGUGUGUGGGCCGACAGCCCUGUGUCUCACUGCUCCCAGGGAAGACACUAAAGCGCACACAAGACCCUCAUAUCUGAGGGACACGUCUCCCACUGACUGGUCUUCUGGAUCGAGAUGGAGGAAGACCGGUAACCAUCGCCCUUCCACCACGUCAGAUUAACAGAAGCAACUCAGGCAUGCAUGUCGGCAUGCAUCUGCAGUUCCAGCACGCUAGAAAAUGGGCAGCAAGGUCACCCACGAGUCAGAAACCAGCCUGGAUGACAGGGAGAUUCCGCCAGCCAGAUGACACAGUGAGACCCUGUCUUGGAGCAGACACACAAACAAGAGAAUAAAUCAUACAGGCAUGCCUUUCAUUUCUUAAAAUAAAAAUAAUCUCAAGCCUUCCCCCUUAGCUACACAACCACUCUAUCAAGAGGUAAGCGGUUCACAAGCUCAAAUGUUUGAAAUUUCGCUCAUGGCUGCAGAUUCACACUUAACAAUGGGUUAGGCAUAUGUGUACUUACAAAUGCAUAUGCUGAUAUGGCCAUUUAGCUAAGCAUAUUUAUCACGAGUGUAUCCUUGAGCCUGCGUGUGUGUGCGCCGUAAUUGCUUUUAAUGAGUGGAUAACAUCACAGUUGAGUCUCUUAGAAU